UACGAAGGGGGCUAGCGUUGCUCGGAUUGACUGGGCGUAAAGGGCGCGUAGGCGGUUUGCACAGUCAGACGUGAAAUUCCUGGGCUUAACCUGGGGGCUGCGUUUGAUACGUGCAGGCUUGAGUUCGGAAGAGGGUCGUGGAAUUCCCAGUGUAGAGGUGAAAUUCGUAGAUAUUGGGAAGAACACCGAUGGCGAAGGCAGCCAUCUGGACCGACACUGACGCUGAGGCGCGAAAGCGUGGGGAGCAAACAGG
rnacentral:rRNA from 1 species